AGCCAAGAAAAAGGCAGCCACAAUGUCUUCUCAGAUAAAGAAAAAAAACAAAAAAAAAUCUAUGGUCUUGGUAUCCCAAAUCAUUCUCUAGUUUCUACAUACAGUAAAACCUCUAUAAAUUAAUACUCUAUAAAUUAAUGAGUUUUUUGCAUCUCAGGACACUUUGUGAGUUUCUAUGAGCAUAUAAGGCACAUUAGAGGGAGUAGGUACUUUUUUUUGAGUUUUUUCACUGUUCCAAAAAAAUUAAUACCAGUUUACCCUCACUACACGUGGACAGUUAACCCGACUAUUGUUAACUUGUUUAUUCUCAACCGUUGGAUAUGUAGGAGAGAGAAUAGAUCUAACGGUUUGUGGCAAGCUUUAGAUGAGAGAAUAGAUCUAACUUCUCGCCGGCAACCUCCGCAGAUCUUGAUGAUGCCUCCACUUCAUUCUCCGUCCAUUUUCAAACAGUGCCGGCGAAGACCAUUAGGCUGUGCUUCCAACUGGGAAUCCUUCUCGGGCUCAUCUCCCGAAGAUCUUUGCUUCUCUUUCCUUAGAAACUCGCUGUCAUCCGCCGCCACCUCGCGCCGCUCUGCCUUUGCUUGCGUUUCUCUCCGAUUCAACGGUUCGGAGCAUUCCGAUUCAACGGUUCGGAGCAUUCCGGUGUCCAAAUGGCGAGUUGAGGAAUUUUGUGAGUGCUAAGUAUGUUUGGUGAGAGCAACAAUGGAGUUUGUGAAGAUCGUGUAGCUUCUAUAUUUUACUUCACGGAGAAGCCUCUCUAUAUUUAGAUUUUUUGUAGAUAUGUUGGAAGAAGACGAUGAGAGAGGCGGUGAUGACGUGUCACAUUUCUUUAGAAGCAACUUCAUCAAUCGACUUACUUAUUUUGUGUUUAUAAAUCUCUCUCUCUCUCCCUCUCUCUCUCUCUCUCUCUCUCUCUUGAAGAAGAAGAAGAAGAAGAAGAAGAAGAAGAAAGAAGAAGAAGAAAAAAGAAGAAGAAGAGAUGGCGGCUUACUACAGUUUUUUCAAUUCGUUCGGAGAAACCAUGGGUUCUUAAUUUUUUCCUUCCAUUUUAGAUUUAGGGAGAUUUAUUCAAAGUCUUGAAUGAUGAAGGCUUCCUCUGCUUAUGUUACAGCGGUGCAGCCACCGAUGGUUAUGAAGAAACGUGGAUGGAGAUGAAUUUGAAUCUUUAAGUGAAGUUGUUGUUUUAGCUUUGUCGUUACUGCUACUCUGCAAGAAGAUGAUGGAUGAGAAUUUAAAGAAGUUUCACAGACUUAUUUGAUCACUUGUGGUAUCUCUUGAACUUGGAAUGAGAUUAGAUAUGAAUGUUGAAGAUGUGAAUUGCUCA